GAGUGGCGAACUGGUGAGUAACACGUGGGAAACCUGCCCAGAAGCGGGGGAUAACACCUGGAAACAGAUGCUAAUACCGCAUAACAACUUGGACCGCAUGGUCCGAGUUUGAAAGAUGGCUUCGGCUAUCACUUUUGGAUGGUCCCGCGGCGUAUUAGCUAGAUGGUGAGGUAACGGCUCACCAUGGCAAUGAUACGUAGCCGACCUGAGAGGGUAAUCGGCCACAUUGGGACUGAGACACGGCCCAAACUCCUACGGGAGGCAGCAGUAGGGAAUCUUCCACAAUGGACGAAAGUCUGAUGGAGCAACGCCGCGUGAGUGAAGAAGGGUUUCGGCUCGUAAAACUCUGUUGUUAAAGAAGAACAUAUCUGAGAGUAACUGUUCAGGUAUUGACGGUAUUUAACCAGAAAGCCACGGCUAACUACGUGCCAGCAGCCGCGGUAAUACGUAGGUGGCAAGCGUUGUCCGGAUUUAUUGGGCGUAAAGCGAGCGCAGGCGGUUUUUUAAGUCUGAUGUGAAAGCCUUCGGCUCAACCGAAGAAGUGCAUCGGAAACUGGGAAACUUGAGUGCAGAAGAGGACAGUGGAACUCCAUGUGUAGCGGUGAAAUGCGUAGAUAUAUGGAAGAACACCAGUGGCGAAGGCGGCUGUCUGGUCUGUAACUGACGCUGAGGCUCGAAAGUAUGGGUAGCAAACAGGAUUAGAUACCCUGGUAGUCCAUACCGUAAACGAUGAAUGCUAAGUGUUGGAGGGUUUCCGCCCUUCAGUGCUGCAGCUAACGCAUUAAGCAUUCCGCCUGGGGAGUACGGCCGCAAGGCUGAAACUCAAAGGAAUUGACGGGGGCCCGCACAAGCGGUGGAGCAUGUGGUUUAAUUCGAAGCUACGCGAAGAACCUUACCAGGUCUUGACAUACUAUGCAAAUCUAAGAGAUUAGACGUUCCCUUCGGGGACAUGGAUACAGGUGGUGCAUGGUUGUCGUCAGCUCGUGUCGUGAGAUGUUGGGUUAAGUCCCGCAACGAGCGCAACCCUUAUUAUCAGUUGCCAGCAUUAAGUUGGGCACUCUGGUGAGACUGCCGGUGACAAACCGGAGGAAGGUGGGGAUGACGUCAAAUCAUCAUGCCCCUUAUGACCUGGGCUACACACGUGCUACAAUGGAUGGUACAACGAGUUGCGAACUCGCGAGAGUAAGCUAAUCUCUUAAAGCCAUUCUCAGUUCGGAUUGUAGGCUGCAACUCGCCUACAUGAAGUCGGAAUCGCUAGUAAUCGCGGAUCAGCAUGCCGCGGUGAAUACGUUCCCGGGCCUUGUACACACCGCCCGUCACACCAUGAGAGUUUGUAACACCCAAAGUCGGUGGGGUAACCUUUUAGGAACCAGCCGCCUAA
rnacentral:rRNA from 2 species